rnacentral:piRNA from 1 species
UGCUCAAUCAUGACCACAGUAAACGAAGG